rnacentral:rRNA from 1 species
UACAGAGGAGCCAAGCGUUGUCCGGAUUGACUGGGCGUAAAGCGCACGCAGGCGGACGCGCGCGUGGGGUGUGAAAUCUGGCCGCUUAACGGCCAGGCGCCAUCCCAUACGGCGCGUCUGGAGUGAUGCAGAGGUCGAUGGAAUUGCCGGUGUAGUGGUGAAAUGCGUAGAGAUCGGGAGGAACACCAGAGGCGAAGGCGGCGACCUGGACAAGUACUGACACUCAACUACGAAAGCGUGGGGAGCAAACAGG